GACGAACGCUGACGGCGUGCUUUAGACAUGCAAGUCGAACGAGAAAGCCCUUCGGGGUUAGUAAAGUGGCGAACGGGUGAGUAACACGUGGGCAAUCUGCCCUUCGUUGGGGGACAACCGGGGGAAACCCCGGCUAAUACCCCGUAAGCUUGUCGGGUCGCAUGGCCUGACAAGGAGAGGUAGCUUCGGCCAUCCGGCGAAGGAGGAGCCCGCGGUACAUUAGCUAGUUGGUGAGGUAAAGGCCCACCAAGGCGACGAUGUAUAGCUGGUCUGAGAGGAUGAUCAGCCAACCUGGGACUGAGACACGGCCCAGACUCCUACGGGAGGCAGCAGUCGGGAAUCUUGCACAAUGGGCGAAAGCCUGAUGCAGCAACGCCGUGUGAGCGACGAAGGCCCUAGGGUCGUAAAGCUCUGUUGUUAGGGACGAAGGGCGAAGGGUUAAUAGCCCUUAGCCUGACGGUACCUUUCGAGGAAGCCCCGGCUAACUACGUGCCAGCAGCCGCCGUAACAC
rnacentral:rRNA from 1 species